ACUUAUAUGAACAAUAGUCUGGGAUAUUGUUUCAUACUAAUCCUUGGAUAUUGGCUUUAUAAAAUUGCAAAGCAUCAAGAUUUAGGAGGUAGAGUUAUUUGUUUUAAACUAAUUUUCAAUCAAUAUUGUGUAUAAUUAAAAAUAUGAUUUAACAAUAAAUAGAUUACCAUUUAACAAGUAUGCUUUUAAAAAUAUUGCUUGAAGAUAACCAUAAUCUAGACCCAAAAUGACCUUUAUUACUUAGUUCUAAUGGAUCAAUUAACUUUACACUAAAUAUGAUUUGGAAAAAGUUCAAGAAAAAAUGAUCUCCAAGGUAUUUAAAUUUUGGCCAUGAAUGUUAAUAAUUGAUUAUUAAUCAUACAGUUCAGUUAACAUAAAGUUAAUUUUAAUAUUCUAUAAUAUU